UCCUCAGUUUAUUCCCCGGCCGCGCCGCUGGUGACCUUUCCUCCCGAAUGCCGACGACGGAAUCGAUGGAGCAUCCAGUGCCUGUUGGCUGGUGACGAGCGACGAGUCUCCUUUCCUGUCGAUAAAUCGAUCAUUUCCGCGAGAUAACCGAUGAACGCGCGAUUAAUUUUGUCGGGUGCAUAGAGGAACGAUAAAGGAAGCGUUUGAUCUUCUCUUCACAGAGCUCUAGCAGCUUUCACUGUGUUACACGUCUCGUUCUCAGGUGACGUUCUAGAGAAACAAAGGACAAGAGAGAUAGGACAUUGCUCAUCCGCUGAGAAGCUAAAAACUGAUACUUGAAGCGGAUCCUUUUCCAACUUUUCACGAUACGCGAUUCCGCAAUCUUUCUAGCAUCCCAAACAUACGCGAGGUCAACGCGACUACAAUCCUGCACGUACGACGUAUCUCCGUGAUACGCGAGAUACGGGAAUCUCUCCAACGCGACCGGCGUGAGGGAUGACAGCAGAUCAGAGAAAGCACACGCGCGCGCGUGUGUAUGUGUAUGUGGAUUGCAGGAGGACCAAGGCUUGAAGGCUUCGUCGUCGAGGAGGGUGGUACGAACACGCGAGUAUUAAUAUGUCCGUUUAAUGUGAUACAUGAGGCAUGAUGAUAGUAUCGGCUUGGUAGAGACAGUGACCGUUAUAUUAUUCGUGAUAAUAAUAAUAAUAAUAAUAAUAAUAUAUAAUAUGUAUAUAAUAUAUAUAUAGUUCAACGUACAAACUAUAUACCUUAAUAAACUCUAACGCAGGGGAUGGAGGAGGAGGAGGGGGCGUCUAUGUACACAGCCUUAGACCAUGCGCUGGCCUAGGUCAUGCCGAUCGUCAUCGAUCGGCUCUAGAUCCGAUCUCUAGAAUUGGGAUCUGGGUGGAUUGGUGGAUCCUGUCCUACAUAACUCCGCGGAUCCUCUCGUCGCCUCGCGGCGCGGGCGUCCUGAUCCUGACGUGCAUGCCACGUACCUAUUAAUUAAUUAUCGACAUUUAUACACAGUACAAUCGAAUUCCUCGCACGCGUACACGCACACACGCACGCACGCACGCUAGGAUGCACGCGAGCACACGCCCGUUGGUGGGAUCAACCAAGGACCCUCCUGAUCAAGGACGCUCCUGGUCGGUCAGCUCGUUUUGGGAUCAUCGUGCUCGUCCGAGCAGGGAUAAGAACACAGCGAGAUUACACAUAAAAUCAACCAAGAUUGUUAUUGGUAUAUCUGCAUAGAGAAUGUAUGUGUGUGUGUGGCACGUAACAUCUUAAAUUAGGAAAUCUCCCAUUCGCGCAGAGGUGAUCGCGUAGCGAUUAAUUACGCUCGAUUAUCCUGAUAUAACGUCGUGGCGCAAUGCUUGCCUAUGUCGUAUGAUCUACUUGACGAUCUUCUGGGCCAGAUUUCAUUUCACUUCGCUCUUCGUCUUCCGCACAAGUGCAAGAGCGGACAUUCCUCUCGUAGAACCAAAUGAAAGCUUGAUGGAAAUAACAAUUUCACUUAAUCGUAAAUCGCAAAAUUAAUCAUCGACCCGAUAACGCCCGACGCGGUGUAUUGAUCAACUCUUUCGUGAUAGAGAGUGCUUAACGCAAUACGUCAAUCCCGCAAUCCCUUCAAUCAAAUUGACCGAAGGUCCUGCGUUAAAGGUCGGACGCUAACGGGUCGAUCGGCACUUUCGCGUGCCUCGAAUCGAAAGAGAAGAAGAAAAAUCGCACGUUCCCAGAAACGAGAACAACUCGAGGAGGCUUCUUCAGGGAUGCAAGGAUCCGCAAAUCCAACAACUCUUUAAAUCGAUGCUCCGCGUAAUCCUUCCGCUCUUCAGUAAUAAUUCUACGACUGUUUUUUACGACUUAUAGUUUUAAAAUACAAUACCUGCAAAGUUCUUAUAAAACGUUUAUAUUUAUAUAAUCCAUUACGCGCGCGCGAAAGAGGGCUAAAUGUUAAGGAUUAUCUAUAACCGCAAGUCUACGAUGUCGGAGGUGAGGGGGAUCUUGAAUAUUCGUGGGAUCCGUACGUGAUCUUCCGUUACAGUCGAUAUCAUUGCAUUAUUAUAACAGCCGCUUCUUGUCGUUACGAUAUAAAAAUCAUUCAUUGCACAUUCCUACUUUCCCCGGGGAGGCAUCUGUGUAUCAUGUAUAUUCUCUUCCACGCACGGAGAAGGAUAUCGGUCAGCGUUCAAAUUCGAGACACGGGGAGCCUCAAAAUCCAGAAUUUUCGGCGAGAAAUCCGGCUCAUUCGCGAUUCGAUCUAUGAUAUUCCACGAGUAACUUUGCAAUUACAUUUUUACUGUAAAUAUACUUCUUCUUCGGGGAGGUCCCUCUUACGAGAAACUAAGAAUCAGUCUCUGAAUUUCGAGGCAACAUUGAUAUAUAUAAUAACGCGUCCAUUACGUCUACACGAAAAUAUGAUUUCGCAGUUGAAUCUGAAUCAGAUCUCGCAAGGAGCAAUCAACAGGGAAAUUUCAAGAACACUUUGAGAAGCAAAACUCGCAACUUGAUUUUUUUCUCGUAAGAUCUGAUUCAGUUCAAGAAGUUCCAUUGUCGAUUAAACGCCAGCUGCACUAACUUGCCAUCUUGUCAAUUAACCAGGGCUAGCUGCUAUUUAAAAAAAGUUUGAUAAAGAAAAAAUUGUUUAAAAGUCUGUAAACGGAGAUUCAUUAAUUCGAGAGAGAGAGAUAGAGAGAGAGAGAGACAA